AAGGGUGUGCAGAUAAACACUCACAGAGAUUUUCAAAAGCUCUUAGGCACCUCUUUCACCUUGGAAACAACUUAUUACCACAGCUGCAGCCUGUCAAAUACCUCCUGCUAAUUAAAAAGUAUGUCCCAGAGAAGAGCUGUCCUUCAUGUUGUGAAGAGACCUGCUGACAUGCUGAUGUUGCUGUAGUCUUAUUAUUCCUCUGGGAAAAUUACCCAGAGCCUUAAAGCACUGACCUUGAGAACCCAGUGAGGUACCCAACCUGGCCCCCAACAAGCUGUACGAUGUGGUGAAAAACACCCAGGAGCAGAAAUCCCACCAAGCUAACCCUCUGAGUGGGCUCAUAGACCCUGUGUUCAGCACACAAAAGCUGGCAAAGGCCUCAGCAGAGAAAAAAGUGUCUGCCUGGGAAGCUCCACUGAUGAUCACCACAGUGACAGUGCCAAGCUGGAUACAGUUGGCUACUUAUGUGUUAACCACAAAGUCAUCUAAAUAUUACUCUGAGCUACUCGACAUCCAGGAGAGGUUCUUCAGAUCUGCUCACAGCCAUGCAGGUGCAUAAGGCAGCUAACUAUUACCAUCUGGUCUCUGGAACUAAGUUUGCAGAAGGAGCCAGAAAACAGACACCUGUUUGGCAUACCAUCUCACAAUAAAUCAUUGCCAAAU